rnacentral:snRNA from 1 species
AGCGACUGGGUGUUUCUCAACCAAACUAUCCCCUCGCCUUUUACUAGGGGAUACCGUGGGAGACGCCACGUAACGUCGCAUAAGCCAAUUUUUCAGUACUCUCAGUGUUUCUGAGCC